rnacentral:rRNA from 1 species
CCUACGGGGGGCAGCAGUAGGGAAUCUUUCACAAUGGGCGAAAGCCUGAUGGAGCAACGCCGCGUGCAGGAUGAAGGCCUUCGGGUUGUAAACUGCUUUUAUAAGCGAGAAAUAUGAUGGUAACUUAUGAAUAAGGAUCGGCUAACUACGUUCCAGCAGCCGCGGUCAUACGUAGGAUCCGAGCAUUAUCCGGAGUGACUGGGUGUAAAGAGUUGCGUAGGUGGCAUAAUAAGUAGCUAGUGAAAUCUGGUGGCUCAACCAUUCAGACUAUUAGCUAAACUGUUAAGCUCGAGACCGUUAGGGGUAACUGGAAUUUCUAGUGUAGGAGUGAAAUCCGUAGAUAUUAGAAGGAACACCAAUAGCGUAGGCAGGUUGCUGGGACGGUUCUGACACUAAGGCACGAAAGCGUAGGGAGCAAACGGGAUUAGAUACCCCUGUAGUC